AGGACUACGCUUCGGGAUGUGUGGCGCUCAAUUACAGAGGCAGUCAGUCAUUCUUUUUUAAUUCACAUGUCGAGGGAAUACCGUAUAGAGCUGGGUAGUUCAUCCUGCAGGAGAUGAGGCGCGCAGCCUGCGCCGUGACGGCGAGAAAGCAGAGCCGUGGCUCGGGAUUGUGUUUCCCGUCUGAUCCGUGGCUCAGGAAAUGCACUUCCCCGGCAGGGAGCGGUGUGGGCGCUAGUAAAUGACCGGCGGAGUUGUCCCCCACCUCUGGAUAAGGGUUGUUGGAUCGCCAUUGACGCCCUUGCAGAUCUGCGGUGGAGCACAUAACAGGCGGCGCUCGUUGCAAUGGAGUUCCUACUGCAACCGAUUAGGAGCACCGCGGUGAUGGAAGAAGUGAACGACAACCAGCUUGCAAUGGAGCCGCUGCACUACCCGGCGAUGGCGACUGAGGCUGAGCGGCUACCACCCAUGGCGACUGGUAGCGUUGACGGGAAAAUCUGUGCGGCCGAGGGGGGAGCUGUAGGCGAAGGGGAUGCUAAACCGCAAGCAUCUGAGCAAUCUAUUGGACAGAUUGAUCCCAAGACACCAGGCUGGACUCGCAGGGUUAGAAUUGGAGCAGCUGCACCAGGAAGGGCACCUUGCCCUGGGCGAACCAGUGCCCUUGAGAAGGCAAUACGGAGUUUGCUUAUCAACCCGGGAACAUUGUAAUUGUCCCAGCUCUCGGUACAAGCUUCGAUGCACUUGGAUAGGCUUAUGAUUUUUACAAUCUAUACUCGUGGGAGAAGGGUUUUGGAAUUAGAUACGGGAAGAGCAGGCUGAAUGUGGAGAGAACAAAAUGCAUGCAAGAAAUCGUGUGUGGGUGUGCGGGUAAACCUGGGGUGGAGAACACAAGGUCAUGUCGAUGCGAGUGCCCUGCCUUAAUAAGACUGCUCCGACCAAAGGACAAUGAUUGGUACAUAGCAGAGCAUCAUGAACAGCACAACUAUUCAUUGUCUCCGACAUAUUGUCAGACAAUACACUGGCCGUCGCACAAGCAUAUUGAUGCGUACAGUGGGGACUCGGUGGAGCAGUUGCGGCAGAACAAUGUGAACCUGGCAAAAGUGCACAGCAUCAUCGGGAGUUUUUUUGGUUCAGUGGAGAAGGUACCUUUCACAAAAAGAGCUCUGAAGAAUUUGUGUGGCAAAAUCAGCAGAGAGCAGGCAGAGGACGAUGUUAGGAAAACUAUGGAGGUUUUUGCAGAAUUGGGUUCACAAGAUCCACAUUUCACAUACCGAGUCCAGGCAGACAAAGAUGGUCGGAUAACCACUCUUAUGUGGGAAAAUGGGAGCAGCAGACUGCAGUACACAUUCUUCGAAGACGUUGUUACCUUCGAUACGACGUACAGAACAAACUUGUACAACAUGCCCUUUGGCCUCUUUGUCGGUGUGAAUAACCAUUUUCAGAGCAUCAUCCUAGCCGGGGUUUUGGUUCGUGACGAAAAAGUUGAGACCUUUGAGUGGGUUUUCACAGAGUUCGUUAGGAUGAUGGGUGGAAGUGCCCCUAAGAAAAUUCUAACCGAUCAUAACCGUUCGGUGGAGGUCGCCAUAAAAAAUGUGAUGCCGCAGAUAGAGCACUGAUGGUGCAAGUGGCAUGUCCUGAAAAAGGCCAAGGAAUCGGACGCGGAGGAAUUGAUCCCGAGCUCAUAUGCUCCCGCAUGAACAGUAAAAUCGAAAAAAAUUGAAAAAAUUCCAAAAAUUUUUUGGGAGAAACAUUGAGAAAAGUUCUAAGUGCCUGCAAAAAUUCGUCGUGAAAUCACAUUCCUAGAAGGCAUGGCAAAAAAACCAAAACAGUACUCUCAAAAGGCUACUUUCAAAAGCAUUUUGAAGCACUGAAUUUGUUUUUUUUGCCACGCCUUACAGGAAUGUGAUUUCAUGAUGAAUUUUUGCAGGCACUUAGAACUUUUGUCAAUGUUUCUCUCAAAAAAAUUGGAAUUUUUUGAAAAAAAAAAUUAUAUUUUUUCGAUUUUACUGUUCAUGCGGGAGCAUAUGAGCUCGGGAUCAAAAGAUGACUUUCACAAGGAUCACUUGGUUCACUUUACACCAGGAAGAGCGAAUUCAGGGCAGAGUUCCACAAGGUAGUGAAUCACAUGCUUACAAAUCAAUGAAUUCGAGGAUGCUUGGAAGAUGUUGGUUGAUAAAUAUAAUUUAAAGACACAUGACUACAUGACCUAACUUUAUGAAAUAAGGUACAAGUGGGCGAAGCCGUAUUUUAAAGGUGUUUUAUGUGCUAAGAUGACUAGUACUCAGCGAAGUGAAAGUGCAAAAGAAUUAUGUUCCUCCGGGUUGUCCAAUGCAUAUGUUUGUGAAGAAGUACAUGAGACUUCAGUUUGACAGGGAGGCAGAGGAGAACUACGAGGAGAAGCGGACACGAAUAGGGAGACCACUAUACAAAGCAAACUUAGCUAUUGAGCGGCAUGCUGGCAAGAUAUACACACGAGCUAUGUUUGAGCAGUUUGGGCUCAUACUGUAUGAGUGCGGCGCAUACCAGGUUGAAGAGCUUGAGAAGGGGAAACUUUACCUUACUAUUCAUAUAGAGGCAGCGAGGAGGGAGAAGUGGUGAAGAGUGUCGUACAAGGUAAACGUUCUCGACGGAGGCGAAGAAUUUGACCGCGAGUGCGGGCAAUUUGCACACAUGGGACUCCUAUGCAGCCAUGUUUUGAAGGUGCUGGAUUUUAUCUGUAUUACAGAGAUACCAUAGAAACACAUAGUGAAGCGAUGGACGAGGGAUGCACGAGACAUUCUACCAGCUCAUCUGACUCAAUAUCAUAGGAAUAAUGCACACAAAAAUCCUUUCAGCUUCAGGCAUUUCAAUAUGUACAUGCACGCCAUGGAGUUGGUGCGGAUGGGUGAUGCAAGUGUAAAAGCAUAUGAGAAAUUCAUGUGCCUCAUUAAGAAUUGCAUGGUGGAGAUGCAGCCCUUUGCAGAGAUUAGAGAUGGGUUAGAAUUGGAGGACAUGAUUGUUGAGCAUGGAGAUGUAGUCAACCAACAAGCACCACAAGUGGCAAUGGUUGCUGCAAGUGGUGGGGCAGGCAUGGGCACUGUCAACGAUGAUGCUACUUCUGCAAAUGAGAGUGGGAACAGACUGAGCGGUCAGUUGGCACCAAAGAAGCGCAAAGAAAUGGGGCGGCCAUCAACUAGCAGGGAGAAGGCAUCAUACGAGGGGUUGAGCAAACGACCCCGGUUUUGCACCAUAUGUCGCGGGCAAGGGGACAAGAGAACGACCUGCCCUGACCGAGGUGAUGCCCCGGAACCUGUUCGCAAACCGUCUAGGUGCAAAUACUGUGGAAUUGAAGGUCACAGGCGAAACAACUGCCACAAAGUAGGUGAUCUCAGGUUGGCUGGCAUGUGAGCAGUGGCUGCAACCUGAAGAAAUGAGAGAUGCAGAAUUUCAGAGGUGUUCUUGAGUCAUGGUUGCUGAAUUUGUCAUGUAGAACUGAUGUAGUUCUGUCAGUACAAGUGUUCUUGAGACAUGCAGGACUGAUGCAUGGCAACCAAAAUAAUAAUUUGGGUUGGCCGAACAAGAGUAUUGUACGCCUAAACUAGUGUGCAUGUAUGAGUUUUAGCACCAAGCUAAUGUAUGUUUUUCUGAAGUUUUAAACAAAGUAGUCUGGUUGUGUGAACACUGAUCGUUUCUGUA